AACCUUGAACAGCAAGCGGCUUCAGGGAUGCCUACAGCUGGAGCUGGCAGCUGUAGGGCUGGCUCUGGAUACCCACUCCCUGAGCUGCUGUAACUUUGCCUAUGCAAUAAACAGCUUCCAAGAGAGCACCUGAAGUCCAGACAUCCUUCGUGAAACUUUCUCCUAUAGGCACGGAGAGGAGCUGGUGGGACAGCAGUGGCACCUCCUGGUGAACUGGGCACUUUCUCCUUCGUGUUCCUGAGCUGGGAGGAGCCGCUUUAGGAUGUGGAUCCCAAAGGAGCAAGGGGUGCCAGGAAGCGCCGCUGAUGGGGACAGAGCCCCUGUGCCUGCUGCUGCCCCACACUGAACAGGGAGCUGCUGAGGAGCCGCUUGGUCCAUCCCUGGAUUCUCCAAGCACUGACUGCCCAUCCACUCUGACCACAGCCGGGGCCACAUCCCAGCGCCUGCCCAGCAUCCAUCCAUGGCGCCUCUGGAAUUUCCUGCAGCAGCUCGGUUACACCGUUGUGUCCUCCCAGGUUGUUUUCCUGCUCGCCUGCAUCCACAGCACCAUCAAACCCUUGAUCUACUUCUUGGUGGGGAGGUGCUGGAGCUCCUGCUCCGUGGGGUCCCUCCGGCUCUCGCUCCAGAGGGUCUUUGAGGAACGGAAAGACAAAACUGCCCGCAGCAAGGAUACCACCAGGGACACGGGGCUCUGACCCUGUUGAUCCCUUCCCCUGCACUUCUGAAGGACCCUGGAACACUGACUGAGGGUUUCCCUGAAUCACCUCACCAAUAAAUACCCACAGGAUCACCCUCCCGCACUGUAUUCCUGCAGGAGCAGGGAGCAGGGGCAGUGCCACAGGCGAUGUGGGAGGGAAGCUCUGCAGGGAGCACACAGGAGCAUAGAUUUCCUCCUCCCUCCCGGUUCCUAGGACACUGUUCCCCAAACGGAUCCUUCCUCACAGGGCUGUCAUCCCUAAAAUCCCCCUGCCGUGGUUCCUGCAUCCCUCUGCAGUCUGAUAUCAAUAAACAGCUCCUGAAACCUGAGCUGCCCUGGCCCCCUCUGCCAGCGCUCCCCGGCUUCCUCUGGCUCCUGCUGCCAGCCGGGAAUGUGGGUGGAGGGAGGGGACACGGCCACGGCUGGUGCUGCCCGGAGCCCCCGUGAUGCCGAGUGCCCGGAGCUGGGCUGGCACCGGCACAGGCGGCACGGGCAGGAUGGCCCAGGGGCUCAGCACGGCCCCGGCUGCUCCGGGAGUGCCACGGCAAAGAUGUGCCUGGUCCCGGCUGGAGCGGGGCAGGAGCGGGGCUGUCGGGGGGAAGGCGGCCCCGGGGGGGUCUGGGCGUGUGCGAGGGGUCAGGAGGGGUCAGGAAGGCUCUGGAUGCUGCCGAUCCCAAAUGUCCGCGCUGGAGAGCAGCAGAGCCCGACGGGCAGCGCUUCAAGGUGGGGAGAGGCUGC
rnacentral:lncRNA from 13 species